rnacentral:rRNA from 1 species
UACGUAGGCAGCGAGCGUUGUUCGGAGUUACUGGGCGUAAAGGGUGUGUAGGCGGUUUUCUAAGUUUGGUGUGAAAUCUCCCGGCUCAACCGGGAGGGUGCGCCGAAAACUGGGAGACUAGAGUGCGGGAUGGGAGAGUAGAAUUCCUGAUGUAGCGGUGAAAUGCGUAGAUAUCAGGAGGAAUACCGGUGGUGUAGACGGCCCUCUGGACCGCCACUGACGCUGAGACACGAAAGCGUGGGUAGCAAACAGG